AAACAAGAAGCUAUUAAAGCAACUAAUUUCGACCUAGUUAUUUGGCAAGUCAAUGCCCUUGUUUA
rnacentral:tRNA from 1 species